GAGCUAUGAAGAAAAAUGCUUUAGCGUUGGUUGGGUCCAUCGCCUUAUUCUGAUUAUCAGAUGAUAGCAUCCAUGCUGAGCUC